rfam:Arabidopsis thaliana chromosome 5, complete sequence.
AAGCCAUGAUGAGGGCAUUGGUUGGUAUAACCCUUGAAACGCUCCCAUGCUUCACAGAAGCAUUUCACCAGCCUUCUGUAAAAAGCCAGAGAUCUCAUUUCUGAGUCU